CGGCACGCCUAACACAUGCAAGUCGAACGCAGUAGCAAUACUGAGUGGCAAACGGGUGAGUAUAAUGUGGGAAUCUGCCUUUUGGUUUGGAAUAACACGGGGAAACUUGUGCUAAUACCGAAUAAGCCCUUACGGGGAAAGUUUUAACGCCGAAAGAUGAGCCCGCACUUGAUUAGCUAGUUGGUAAGGUAAAAGCUUACCAAGGCAAUGAUCAAUAGCUGUUCUUAGAGGAAGACCAGCCACAUUGGGACUGAGACACGGCCCAGACUCCUACGGGAGGCAGCAGUGGGGAAUCUUGCACAAUGGGGGAAACCCUGAUGCAGCGAUGCCGCGUGAGUGAAGAAGGCCUUUGGGUUGUAAAACUCUUUCGUCGGGGAAGAAAAUGACUGUACCCGAAUAAGAAGGUCCGGCUAACUUCGUGCCAGCAGCCGCGGUAAUACGAAGGGACCUAGCGUAGUUCGGAAUUACUGGGCUUAAAGAGCUCGUAGGUGGUUAAAAAAGUUGAUGGUGAAAUCCCAAGGCUCAACCUUGGAACUGCCAUCAAAACUUUUUAGCUAGAGUGUGAUAGAGGUAAGUGGAAUUUCUAGUGUAGAGGUGAAAUUCGUAGAUAUUAGAAAGAACACCAAAUGCGAAGGCAACUUACUGGGUCACUACUGACACUGAGGAGCGAAAGCAUGGGUAGCGAAGAGGAUUAGAUACCCUCGUAGUCCAUGCCGUAAACGAUGUGUGCUAGACGUUGGAAAUAUAUUUUUCAGUGUCGCAGCGAAAGCAUUAAGCACACCGCCUGGGGAGUACGA
rnacentral:rRNA from 1 species